rnacentral:tRNA from 1 species
AAGCGCGUGGUUGAGCAGGGCCCGCAUGCUGGGGCUGUCGUCUACAGUCAGGAUUCGGGUGGUCUGGUUCAUGGUCAGGCUCGCUUG